rnacentral:rRNA from 1 species
AUUGAACGCUGGCGGCAUGCCUUACACAUGCAAGUCGAACGGUAACGGGCCUUCGGGUGCCGACGAGUGGCGAACGGGUGCGUAAUACAUCGGAACGUGCCCGAUCGUGGGGGAUAACGAGGCGAAAGCUUUGCUAAUACCGCAUACGAUCUACGGCGGACAGCAGGGGACCGCAAGGCCUUGCGCGGACGGAGCGGCCGAUGGCAGAUUAGGUAGUUGGUGGGAUAAAAGCUUACCAAGCCGACGAUCUGUAGCUGGUCUGAGAGGAUGAUCAGCCACACUGGGACUGAGACACGGCCCAGACUCCUACGGGAGGCAGCAGUGGGGAAUUUUGGACAAUGGGCGCAAGCCUGAUCCAGCCAUGCCGCGUGCAGGAUGAAGGCCUUCGGGUUGUAAACUGCUUUUGUACGGAACGAAAAGCCUUCUUUUAAUACAGGAGGGUCAUGACGGUACCGUAAGAAUAAGCACCGGCUAACUACGUG